CUGGAGUUAUACUCCCAAAGACAAGGCAGGGCUCCUCUCUGAUGUGGCAAACAAGGCUAGAUUCUUACCUAGGAUGCCGGAAUUAACAAAAUGUACCAAGCUGAAAUACUCAAGCAGAUCAUUCUGGAUGGGAGUUCCGGAGAUGAGCACCCGCCGGCUGGUGUUCAAGCUGUCCAGGGCUUGACUGCUGAGAGUCAAGUACCUCGUCACAUAUGACCAGACCAACACUUCCUUUCUGGAGGACUCCAACAUGAAGGCGGAAGGUCUCAUAGGAAAUGAUGAGGAUGGGAGAAGGCACCCUGGCUCCACGCUGGUUCAUGAAUCCUUCUACAACAGAAAAGGUGUCAAGAGAACAAUUCAGAAUCUUUUGAAAAAAAAAAAAAAACAAUUCGACAGUUCUUUAAUUUAGCCUGGAAACAACUGACUCCACUUCAACUAUUUUCAAUGGAAAUUCUCUUUUCUUCUACCCCUGCAUUGCCCUCCACCCUGGCCAUAAAUGAGCAUGCACGUAAGAAAGCAGCAGGCUGUGCAGGAGAGUGCAGCCAUCUUUGUUAGGGCUCCGUACCCAGCUUUUGGUCUAUUUCAUCCUUAGAUCCUCCAUCGAUGGCCAGAGGUUGGAUCCUCCCUCCGAGCCAUUUCCCAACCUCAUUGUACCAGUUCUUCACCAGGCUGGAAGGCGACACCACCACUGCCUUGUCAAUUUCUGGCUUGCACUCUGGACUCUGGCGUAAAAGUGUCCACAUCAAUGUGAUGCACUGCAGCGUCUUUCCUAGGCCCAUCUCAUCAGCCAUGAUGCAGCCAUGGCUGCCAGGGAUGCGCCGACUGGUGACACACUCCCACAGGAAUUUCACUCCCUAGAGAAUAACAGCCUUCAGUCCACUUUGGCACCUACGCUGCUGCUGUCCCAGGGAUGGUAGUCUCCCAGGCUCAGCCCAUAGCCCACACCUCGUUCCCCUCACCCUCAUUUACCUCUCUCUGAUGAGGCCGCAAAACCUUACUGAGAAUAGGGUCAACAACCACAUGGACAGGGAGUUUCUCCCUGAGAAAACACAGCAAAGAAAACAGCGUGCUCAGACAUGGGCAAGGGAGCACCCUCAGGAAGCUGUGUCCUGCUGAUCCAGAGGCAACAGAGGCAGCUGCCUAAGAGAAGACCUUCUUGGCUGAUAAAUCAUAAAACCAUAGCAAGUUCCUACUUUAGGAGUUAGAAAGUUAGCUCAGAGAGGGAUGGGUUCCCUGUGUCAUCACCUCAAUCACUCCUCCUCCUGAGUGAGCAUCCUGGGAAGGCAGGAGGGGAUGAGGAAUGCCCACUCACUGGACAUGACCACAGGCUCUUCCCCAGGCAGUCUCCUUCCCCAAUCAUCUACUCUCUGAAAACAUAUGUCAAUCCUAAAAAGAAAUCACACCAAAAUACCCUCUGCCCUCCCAAGUAUGCGUGCAUGUACAGAGAACCAAAACUGCUUAUGAAAUACCAGUGCACAUACUUGUCAAGCUUCAGCUGGUCAUGAGCGCUCAGCGGGGGAGGCUCAUACAGAACCAAGGCAUCUUUUUCCAGGGGGUCAUGGAGGGCCCGGCGGACCCCAGCCCUUUUCAGGCCCAAUGCCCGAGAGCCCAGAGGACCUACAAACCAAUAAUCAUUCCGUCACCUGAAUCUACGUUUAGGAGCUCCAGCAAGCCCAACUCAAAUACUUGUCCUUCACAUAACCUUUCCUGAGCUCCCAUAUGACCCUCUCUCUCUGAGAAUGCCUCCAAACUCAGUUUGGGCAUCUCUAUAUGACCAUUAUCCCAUUCUGCUUUUUUUUUUUUUGAGAUGGAGUCUCACUUUGUUGCCCAGGCUGGAGUGCAGUGGCACAAUCUCGGCUCACUGCAACCUCUGCCUCCCAGGUUCAAGCAAUUCUCCUGCCUCAGCCUCCCAAGAAGCUGGGAUUAUAGGCUCCCGCCACCACACCCGGCUAAUUUUUGUAUUUUUUUUAGUAGAGACAGGGUUUCACCAUGUUGUCCAGGCUGGUCUUGAACUCCUGACCUCUGGUGAUCUGCCCGCCUUGGCCUCCCAAACUGCUGGUAUUACAGGCGUGAGCCACCAUGCCCAGCCCCCAGAAUUAUUCUGCUUUGAAUCAGAGCUUUUCCCAUGUUAUUUCUCCCAUUCAAUUACAAACUUCUGAGGUGCCAGAUCUGGUUCAUUUCAACUCAAGACAAUCCUGGGAAGGCCUGAAAUUCUAAAGGGCGCUUUCAUGGAGCUUUCUGAGAGCUCCUGAGAGCUGGCCACAGCCAAGCGUAGUAUCUCAAGCCUGUAGUCCCAACACUUUUUGAGAGGUCGAGGUGGGAGGAUCGCUUGUGCCCAGGAGUUCGAGAUCAGCCUGGCCAACAUAGUGAAAUCCUAUCUCUAUUAAAUUAAAAAAAAAAAAAAAAAAA